CUGUUCACUAAAGAUUAGCCAUGCAGUCUAAGUACGCACGGUCGGUACAGUGAAACUGCGAAUGGCUCAUUAAAUCAGUUAUGGUUCCUUUGAUCGCUCUACCGUUACUUGGAUAACUGUGGCAAUUCUAGAGCUAAUACAUGCCAACGAGCGCUGACCUCCGGGGAUGCGUGCAUUUAUCAGACCCAAAACCCAUGCGGGGCCCGCCUGCCGCCCGGUCCCCCCGGGGGCUCGGCGCGCAGGCUCCCCGGCCGCUUUGGUGACUCUAGAUAACCUGGAGCCGAUCGCUGGCCCUCAGGUGGCGGCGACGUCUCAUUCGAAUGUCUGCCCUAUCAACUUUCGAUGGUACGCUCUGUGCCUACCAUGGUGACCACGGGUAACGGGGAAUCAGGGUUCGAUUCCGGAGAGGGAGCCUGAGAAACGGCUACCACAUCCAAGGAAGGCAGCAGGCGCGCAAAUUACCCACUCCCGACGCGGGGAGGUAGUGACGAAAAAUAACAAUACAGGACUCUUUCGAGGCCCUGUAAUUGGAAUGAGUACACUUUAAAUCCUUUAGCGAGGAUCCAUUGGAGGGCAAGUCUGGUGCCAGCAGCCCGGGGUAAUUC
rnacentral:rRNA from 1 species